ACUACAUUAGAUACCCCUGUAGUCCUAGCCGUAAACGAUACUCGCUAGGUGUCGGCCACGGCGCGACCGUUGUCGGUGCCGUAGGGAAGCCGUGAAGCGAGCCACCUGGGAAGUACGGCCGCAAGGCUGAAACUUAAAGGAAUUGGCGGGGGAGCACAACAACGGGUGGAGCUUGCGGUUUAAUUGGAUUCAACGCCGGAAAUCUUACCGGGACCGACAGCAACAUGAAGGCCAAGCUGAAGACUUUGCCGGAUUAGCUG
rnacentral:rRNA from 1 species